GUUGGAUGCUCUCGGUGGGAUUCGGUAAACGUUGACUUCAGGUUUGACACAGAGGACCGACUCGUACUCGGACUGACCCUCGGUCGCCAUCUUGACUUUUACUCAGUUGGUGCACGCCGCCGUUGAUGGUAGUGACGAAGUAAAGGCGAGAGACGAAGAUCCUGAGGCGAAGGUUGGGCGUCCGGCUGAAGAACUGGGACAGUCUGACUGAACAGUUGGCACAGGGAGACCAGGAGCAGAACCAGGUGAUGGAGUAACUGAGCCUCCUCUCUCCAGUACCUCCACAUCCCCAUAAACCAGGGCACAAGGCUUCCAGUCUCUUCUCAUAUGCUCCCCCCUUCUUGACCCACAUUACUUACCUCUACAUGGCAGCCACUGCGAUUACGGAGGUGUCCAAAGUCAAAGGUUAAGGAGUCCGGUCCAACUCGCCUCUUCACUACAAAGCACAGUGGGAUCGCCACCGACCCCUCCUGCUAUUCACCCUUUCCACCUAGC